AGUUUGAUCCUGGCUCAGGAUGAACGCUAGCUACAGGCCUAACACAUGCAAGUCGAGGGGCAGCAUGGGGAUUGCUUGCAAUUCCUGAUGGCGACCGGCGAAUGGGUGAGUCACGCGUGUCCAACCUGCCCCGUGCCCGGGCACAGCCCUUGGAAAUGAGGAUUAACGCCCGAUAUGUGCCGUUUCCGCAUGGCGGCGGCAUGAAUCGAGACACGGGAUGGGGACGCGUCGGAUUAGCUUGACGGCGGGGCGACGGCCCACCGUGGCGACGAUCCGCAGGGGUUCUGAGAGGAAGGUCCCCCACAUUGGAACUGAGACACGGUCCAAACUCCUACGGGAGGCAGCAGUGAGGAAUAUUGGUCAAUGGGCGAUGGCCUGAACCAGCCAAGUAGCGUGCGGGACGACGGCCCUAUGGGUUGUAAACCGCUUUUGCAGGGGAAUAAAGUGUCCUACGCGUAGGAUUUUGUAUGUACCCUGAGAAUAAGGACCGGCUAAUUCCGUGCC
rnacentral:rRNA from 1 species